CUGGGGCCGCUGUCCCUUCAGCCUCUCCGCCUGCAGCUGCCGAAGCCGGUGGUGAAACCUCGGCCGGCGGGGGCGAGGGAGGAGGUGGCCUCGCCG
rnacentral:SRP_RNA from 15 species